rnacentral:rRNA from 1 species
UACGUAGGUGGCAAGCGUUGUCCGGAAUUAUUGGGCGUAAAGCGCGCGCAGGCGGCCUUUUAAGUCUGAUGUGAAAGCCCACGGCUCAACCGUGGAAGGUCAUUGGAAACUGAAAGGCUUGAGUACAGAAGAGGAAAGCGGAAUUCCACGUGUAGCGGUGAAAUGCGUAGAGACGUGGAGGAACACCAGUGGCGAAGGCGGCUUUCUGGUCUGUAACUGACGCUGAGGCGCGAAAGCGUGGGGAGCAAACAGG